rnacentral:rRNA from 1 species
AUUGAACGCUGGCGGAAUGCUUUACACAUGCAAGUCGAACGGCAGCACGGACUUCGGUCUGGUGGCGAGUGGCGAACGGGUGAGUAAUGUAUCGGAACGUGCCCAGUCGUGGGGGAUAACGUAGUGAAAAUUACGCUAAUACCGCAUACGAUCUAUGGAUGAAAGCGGGGGAUCGCAAGACCUCGCGCGAUUGGAGCGGCCGAUAUCAGAUUAGGUAGUUGGUGGGGUAGAGGCCCACCAAGCCAACGAUCUGUAGCUGGUCUGAGAGGACGACCAGCCACACUGGAACUGAGCCACGGUCCAGACUCCUACGGGAGGCAGCAGUGGGGAAUUUUGGACAAUGGGCGAAAGCCUGAUCCAGCCAUUCCGCGUGCAGGAUGAAGGCCCUCGGGUUGUAAACUGCUUUUGUACAGAACGAAAAGGUUUCUACUAAUACUAGGAGCUCAUGACGGUACUGUAAGAAUAAGCACCGGCUAACUACGUGCCAGCCGCCGUAACAC